GAGGUACUAGUAAAAUAUUACACCGCCUUGUCAAGGCGGAAUUGUAGGUUAGACCCCUGCGUACCUCC
rnacentral:tRNA from 1 species